rnacentral:lncRNA from 1 species
CUUUUUGUCUUUUCUAGGGCCGCUCCUGCAGCAUAUGGAGGUUCCCAGGCUAGGGGUCAAAUCAGAGCUGUAGCCACCGGCCUACACCAGAACCACAGCAACACGGGAUCCGAGCCAAGUCUUCGACCUACACCACAGCUCUCAGCAACACCGGAUCCUUAACUCACUGAGCAAGACCAGGGAUCGAACCCACAACUUCAUGAUUCCUAGUUGGAUUGAUUAACCACUGAGCCACGAUGGGAACUCCUCCAAUCCUUUUUAUGAGCAAAUAAUAUUCCAUUACUUGGACAUACCAUCUCUUGCUUAUUCAUCAGUUGAUAGACAUUUAAGUAUACUCUAUUGCUAUUAAGAAUAAUACUGUUCUUAUACAUUCCUGUACAAGUUUUCUAUGGACAUAUGUUUUUGAUUCUGUGUGGGUGUGUAUAAAUUUUUGAGAAAUUUCCUGUUUUCCAAACUGGCGAUACCAUUUUACAUUCCCACUAGCAAUUUCAGAGGGUUCGAAUCUUCUCUUAAUUUUUAUUGUCAUUAACCACAUGUAGUUUUGGCUUUUUCAGCUUUGUUCUGUGUUUAUUGAUACUACCACCAAUACUCACUACAAACUGUACAAAAAUAUGGUAGCUUCCAUUCACCUCUUAGCAAAUUCAAGAACAUCAGUCCUCCAGGAUAUUUCUGUUUUGUUGUUUUGUUUUGUUUUGUUUGCUUUUUAGAGCCACACCCACAGCAUAUGGAGGUUCCCACGCUAGGGGUAUAAUCAGAGCUACAGCUGCCGGCCUUCCCCAGACCCAUGGCAAUGCAGGAUCCGAGCUGCGUCUGCGACCUACACCACAGCUCACAGCAACGCCAGAUCCCUAACCCACUGAGCGAGGCCAGGGAUCGAACCCGCAAACUCAUGGUUCCUAGUCGGAUUCGUUAACCACUGAGACACAAUGAGAACUCCUAGGAUAUUUCUAUUGCCAAAUUCAGCCUGGGGCCUGUUUGUGUAUGACUCAGAAGCUAAGAAUUUUUUUUUUUACAUUUAUAAAAAUGGUUUAAAAUUUUUUUUAAUAUUUUGUUACAAAUAGAUUAUAUAAAAUCCAAAUUUCAUUGACUAGAAAUAAAAUUCUGUUAGAACCUGGCCCUGCUCACUCACUACGUAUCACCUACGGCUGCUUUCACACGGCAAAGGCAGAGCUGAGUAAUUGUGACAGAGAUGGUCUGGCCCACAGAGCCUCAAAUCUUUACUAUCUGGGCUUUUACAGAAAAAAAGUCUAUCGUAUUGCCAAUCUGUACUAUCGCAUUGCCAAUAAGUACAGAAAUUGAGAGUAAGCCUUAGAAAUGCACAGAAAAUUGACCAAGGAAUUUUCUAUCUCUGAGUCAAAUACUUAAAAAUAGGCUACGUAGUCUGUAUGUCUUUGGGGUUUUCUAAAUUUUCAUUUUUCUAGUUAUUGAUUUUUAUUGGAUUUUAUUAAAGUAUCAGUUCAUGAUAAAAUGGAAACCUUAAAAAAAAACUGGUCCUUGAACACAAAUAGUUGUAGAAGCACUCAAGUAGUGAAUCAAUGUCUUUAGAAAAACAAAGGAGUGGAUCUUCUGGGACACAAGCAUCCUGAGAGCAGAGCUUUCAACUGCCUGUGCGCCUAUAUUUCUCAGCAUCUAGACAGUGCCUGGUACAGUGUAACAGGAACUCAAUAAAUGCUGGACAAAUAUACAAAUCCAAUACAACCCACUUCCUAACUCCAAUAUCACUCCCAAGGAUUGCUAUUUUCUAGGUUUGUUUUAUUUUUAUUUAUUUAUUUAUUUAUUUAGUCUUUUUAGGACCUCACCCGAGGUAUAUGAAGGUUCCCAGGCUAGGGGUCAAAUCGGAACUGUAGCCACUGGCCUAUGCCACAGCAAUGCCAGAUCAGAGCCACAUCUUCAAACUACACCACAGUCACGGCAACGCCAGAUCCUUAACUGAAUGGACAAGGCCAGGAAUUGAACCUGCAUCUUCAUGGAUACUAGUCAGAUUUGUUUCUGCUGAGCCAUGACAGGAACUCCCUGUUUUUAUUUUUAAUUUACUCUCAAAGGCAGUAUUUACAGCCGAAACUCUGGUCCCAGGCCUGGGUUGAAAUCCCAGCUUCACCUUUUACUAGCCAGGCUAUCUUUGGCAAGUCACUCAACCUUUCUCUAACUCUUCAAGUAUCAAAUGGGGAUAACAGUAGAGUCUAUAGAGUUAUUAGGACAGUAAUCUGAGUUGAUAUUAAUAUAAAUUACUUAGAAGGGUGCCAUGAACACAGAAAGAACUCAAUAAAUUCAUGUAUUAUUAUUAUUGUACAUAUCUGUAAAGUAUGCAUAUGCGCGAAGUGGUCACAAAACUUUCUCGUAUUAGCUGCCCAAGAUAGCAUGCAGUGCUCUUUAUCUUUUUAAGGUAAAGCAUUUUAUAUUCCUGCCAAAUGUAAUGUCUCCAGCUUUUUAAAAACAAUCUCUCUAGGUCAUCAGAUACUUUUGCAAAUAUGAUUUUUCAUGAAUCUGUGAAGUAUUUCCCAUAAAUUUGCUUAGUACAGCCCAAAGGUUUGACUAAACAUCUAUAAAUGAGUUCCCACUGUGGCUCAGCAGAAACAAAUCCAACUAGUAUCCAUGAGGACACAGGUUCGAUCCCUGGCCUUGCUCAGUGGGUUAAGAAUCCAGCACUGCCGUGAGCAGUGGUGUAGGCCAGCAGCUACAGCUCUGAUUGGACCCCUAACCUGGGAAACUCCAUAUGCCAUGGGUGCGGCCCUAAAAAGACAAAAAGAAAGAAAGAGAGAGAGAAAGAAAGAAAAGAAAUUUCAAUUAUAUCACCUCACCUCUACCCAUCUCAACCCUAAACUUUACAAAACACCAAAUUUUUUUCAGAGUGAAUCUCUUCAGCCUUCAGCAGCCCCUUCUUAGUCUCUAGGCACUGAGGAGGUAGGAGCAGUACUGAGUGGCUAACCCUAGGAGUGACCCUCUUUAUAAUUACAUCUCAGUACAGUUUUUGGCAUUACUGGGAAAAAAAUACAGCACAACCAGGUCCACAGAAAGCCCUGCUCUCCACAAAUAUUCCUGCCUAUCCACACUCCCACCUCUGGCUAUGUUUGGCUUCAGCCUAGAAUAAAUCUCCCAGCCACUGACUACUGGUAACUUUAGACAACCUCCAAGACCAGACACCAACAUCAUUUCUAUAGCAACUUCCCUUUCAGUCAGAACUAAUAAAAACGAUAAACCUUAUAUAAUCGACCUUGUUCAAUGCCUGUUUCGUCCACUAAACUGACCCCAGAGCAACUACCAAAGUGCUCAGUACAUGUGGAGAGAAGAAAAGUUACUAAAUAAUGCCCUCUAGGAGAUGACUGGCCAGACAUUGGUAAGCUAUUCUGCCUUUCCCCACUACUUAAAUGCCAUGAGGGUAGGAACUGGCAUUACUAGUAGGUGCAAAGUAAAUAUUGGUUGAAAGAAUGAAUGAUUGAAUGAGUGGGUGAGUGAAUGAAUGAGGGACCAAGACAGGAAUACUUGUCAUAAAGUGGUGCCAUCUGAUAUCAUAUUUGAGCUGCUCACAUGCCCUGCUACACAAAAAAUAGGAGGAGAUUUUAAAAUUACCUUUCCCCAGACUUCAAUAAUCAGGUUGUUUCCCAGUAUCAAAAGUAGAGUGAUAGAUCAUGAUGUCACACACAGCAUACACAACAUUACUGAUACCCAACUAUGAGGGUUGUUGGAGGAACAGAUCUAUUUGUUCUUUGUUUCUUUUAGACAAUUUUAAAGCAUCUUCUUUUCCUGGAAGUAAAACUUCCUGUUGUCUGUACAGUCUAUCCUAGUUUUCCCAUGCCAUUAGGCUGAUCCAUUUUGAAACAUUUAAGGAUUCCAUCUAUCUUGGUGACAAUAGUGGCCUCUGGAUUAGGAUAUCAGCAAGCCACAAUUACCUAAGUAAUACUAAAGGCUCAGGCUCAGAGCAUAAACCCAAGCCAGGACUGGGCUUAUCCAGAAAUGAGGGGACCACUAAACUAAUAUCACUAGCCUGUUGUUUUUACUCCUCCUUAUGGACAUGGGUGUUAACCCUCCCAGGGACCUGAGAGAAGAGGCAUCAAGAAGGUAACCUGGAUGUCCCUCUGCCUGUAUCUUCACUCAUGUUGUUUAUUUACAGUGUUCAUGAUGACUAAGAUUAUGGAAUCAUAGGAAUUGCAAACCCAAAGGUCUAUGGCGGUUAGACAGGUUUUGUUUUUUUGGUUUUUUUUUUUUUCUUUUUUUGCUUUUCAGGGCCACGCCUGCAGCAUAUGGAAGCUCCCAGGCUAAGGGUCAAAUCAGAGCUACAGCUGACGGCCUAUACCACAGCCACAGCCACGCCAGAUCUGAGCAUCAUUUGUGACUUACACCACAGCUCACGGCAAUGCCGGGUCCUUGACCCACUGAACAGGGCCAGGGAUUGAACCUGAGUCCUCAUGGAUAAUAGUCAGAUUCGUUUCUGCUGAGCCACGACAGGAACUCCAAGACAGGUUAAUUGCAAGAAGAUAGCAAGGUGGGGCCUGGGGAGGACAGCAAAGAAUAAGCUCAUAUAAAGAGAAGAGCAGAUACUCAGCUAGCUGUUGCCAUCUGGUAUCUAAGGCCCAAACUCCUGAUCUUCUGGGGUUUAUCCAAAAAAAAAAAAGACUUCAGAUUUGCAUGAGAUAUCUUUUUUUUAAUUGUGGCAAAAUACAUAUAUAAAACUUACCAUCAUCUUAAUCAUUUUAAGUGUACAGUUCAGUAGUGUUCAGUACAUUCACGUUGUGCAACCAGUCUCUGAAACUCCUUCCACCUUGCAAACCUAAAGCUCUAUACACUUUAAACAAUUUACAAUUCCUUGUUUCCCCCAGCCCGUGGCAACCACCAUUCUACUUACUAUCUCUAUGAAUUUAA